ACACCCUCACCAGCCCUCAGUGUGGAGCACUGAACUGUUUCUGGUUCCUUUCGCUUGAGAUCAUGCAGAGAGCCUCACGCCUGAAGAAAGAACUGCACAUGCUAGCCAUCGAACCACCCCCAGGCAUCAUGUGCUGGCAGGGAAAGGAGCAAGUGGAUGAUUCAGGAGCUCAAAUACCAGGUGGACCCAAUCAACCUUAUGAGAAAGGUGUUUUCACACUGGUAGUUAUCAUUCCUGAGAGGUACCCAUUUGAACCUCCAGAGGUCAGAUUUCUGACUCCAAUCUAUCAUCCAAACAUUGAUUCUAGUGGAAGGAUUUGUCUAGAUAUUCUCAAAUUGCCACCAAAGGGUGUGUGGAGACCACCUCUCAACAUCACCACUUUAUUGACUUCUAUUCAGCUGCUCAUGGCAGAGCCCAAUCCUGAUGACCCACUAAUGGUUGACAUUUCUUCAGAAUUUAAAUAUAAUAAGUUAGCUUUUCUCAAGAAAACCAGGCAGUGGACAGAGACUCAUGCAAGACAGAAACAAAAGGCUGAUGAAGAGGAGCUAGGCACCUCAUCAGAGGUUGGUGACUCUGAGGAAAGUCACUCCACACAGGAAAGGAAGGCCAGGCUGCGAGGAGGAGUGGGAAAGAAGUUUUCCCCUGACGUUCAGAGAGUCUGUCCUGGGCCCUCUUAGUUACUGGCAGUCUGUGUCAAGGUGGUCUCUUUUGCUUGCUUCUUUUAAAUGUUUUUCUGUGUGUUUGAUGAUAAAUAUUUAUAUCCUUACAAAAGACCUUGUAUAUUUUCAAAUUCUGCCAUGCAGCGAUUCUUUAAGGAUAGUUUGUUUUAUUUAUCUUGUACAUAUGUAUUUAGAAAACUUUUAAACUUGAAAAAUAAAUAAUACUUAAUGUUAAAAAAA